rnacentral:rRNA from 1 species
AACGAACGCUGGCGGCAGGCUUAACACAUGCAAGUCGAGCGCCCCGCAGGGGGAGCGGCAGACGGGUGAGUAACGCGUGGGAAUCUACCCAUCUCUACGGAAUAACGCAUGGAAACGGGUGCUAAUACCGUAUACGUCCUUCGGGAGAAAGAUUUAUCGGAGAUGGAUGAGCCCGCGUUGGAUUAGCUAGUUGGUGGGGUAAAGGCCUACCAAGGCGACGAUCCAUAGCUGGUCUGAGAGGAUGAUCAGCCACACUGGGACUGAGACACGGCCCAGACUCCUACGGGAGGCAGCAGUGGGGAAUAUUGGACAAUGGGCGCAAGCCUGAUCCAGCCAUGCCGCGUGAGUGAUGAAGGCCCUAGGGUUGUAAAGCUCUUUCACCGGUGAAGAUAAUGACGGUAACCGGAGAAGAAGCCCCGGCUAACUUCGUGCCAGCAGCCGCGGUAAGAC